rnacentral:rRNA from 1 species
UCAGGCCUAACACAUGCAAGUCGAACGGUAACAGGAAACAGCUUGCUGUUUCGCUGACGAGUGGCGGACGGGUGAGUAAUGUCUGGGAAACUGCCUGAUGGAGGGGGAUAACUACUGGAAACGGUAGCUAAUACCGCAUAACGUCGCAAGACCAAAGAGGGGGACCUUCGGGCCUCUUGCCAUCGGAUGUGCCCAGAUGGGAUUAGCUAGUAGGUGGGGUAACGGCUCACCUAGGCGACGAUCCCUAGCUGGUCUGAGAGGAUGACCAGCCACACUGGAACUGAGACACGGUCCAGACUCCUACGGGAGGCAGCAGUGGGGAAUAUUGCACAAUGGGCGCAAGCCUGAUGCAGCCAUGCCGCGUGUAUGAAGAAGGCCUUCGGGUUG